CUUUGGGAAACCAAGUGCAAACAGGUGUGGUGGGAAAAUGCUGAUUUGUUUUGUUACUGGUAAGUUUUUAAGCUCCAAACCGGAACAAGGAUAAGGGCCCGGAGUGUAUGCUGCAGGCGGUCGGUUAGGAUCUCCAGCUCCUGAGUCAGCUUGUACUCCUCACGAAACUGCUCGCCCAGCAGCACCAGGUCCCGCGUGGCAUCGUGGAGCGGAAUGUCGCUCAGGACAAAGACAGUGUUGAUGUGGGAAAGAAUGCCGUGGUAGCCGAAGUCAAUGUGCGGGCGGACCAGGGAAAACACCGAAGGGAGGAUGCAGGCGCCGGGCUGGAGCUGAAAAGAGAGGAGAAUGAAAUAACAAUGAACACCCUCCAAAACUGCUGAUUCCGUCAUGUUUGCCAGGGGUUGUACUCAGGCUGAAAGACUGUCCACCUGUGGAUGGACGGUGAUUGUGAAUGGAACAUUGCUUAGGAAAUUAACUCACACCAUCACACAGGUCAUCUAUGUGAAUCACUACACAAACAAAGACCAUAAAAAGAACUACUGUAGAAGACUUGGCAUUUUUUCAGUUAACUUACAGGAAGUAAGAUUGGAUUUAUAUGUCCUUGGACAACACACACCAAGUUGCUCAGGACAUGUGACUAAGAAACACAAAAGAUUUGGCAGCUUUACAAUGUGCAACUGCGUCAGCAAUGCCAUCGCCAGAAUAUUUAUUUAUAUUGAAGCGGAAUGCUUUUUCUAAACAUGACAAAUGCCAUCUAACAAAAGCCCACUUGGAUUGAUGUUCUUCAGACAUAUUUCAUAUGUUUAUUGUCUUGGAGUUUAAUACCUUUGGUCUCUAUUCAUAUUACUGUGUUGAUGCAAAUAUAAGAUUUUUUUUUCCCACAGAAAAAGGUCUGACAUAAGGGGUCAAGAGAAGCAUACAUGCCAACCAACAAGUGGUGCUCCAAAACUUCUCCCCCAGUUCGAGCUUUUCUUCCUGCCGCCCUAUCUCAAAGGCUAUUAGCAAGUUGGCAAACAUCGUAGGCUAAGUUAUGAUGCUAAUUUGAUGAGGCAGUCAUUAAACAACCGUAAGAAAUAAUGUAAUUUCUGGACUACAAGACUUUCCCUUUUUCCCACGCUUUGAACCCUGCGGCCUAUACAAUGUUGCGGCUAAUUUAUGGAUUUUCUGGGUUCACAAGCUAUACACGCCGCCCAUAAAUUUAGCUUCGCCACAUCAGGCCGAGGAACGGGUCAGGGUGGACCAAUUAAAUUGUUCACAUUAAAUCAAACCCACUCACAUGACACAAGCAUUCGGUCAGCCAUUUAACGCGUCACAGACUCACCCUCAUCGACACGACGCUGCCCCAAAGCCGAAGACGAUGGACCCAGCCAUUGACAA